UCUAAGGUUCCUGAAUAAACUGCCAAAAGAAGAGCUCAUGGGUCGCGUCUUUCUUGCUGGUCAAGGCGGACGCGACAACUGGCGGCCCGUACGGGGAACCUCUUGAGACUCAGAACUUUUUGCAGUCAGGGCAGCCGGCUGGUAAGUUCCCAGGAUUGUUUAGAGCCUCUGUGGGUUCCCGAAUGACUGACAUGGACAUGUGCCACGCAAAAUGAAAAGACCGUGCCUGAAGGUUCUGUGCGUCCUCCUGCUCCUGUUCCUGAUAGAGAGCCAAGCGGAACCAAGGAAUUUGGUUGGCAAAUUUUGAGGAUCUGAUGGA